GUUGUGGACAUGCACUUUUGAACUUUUUUUUUAACCUUUGUUUAUUGUUGUACUUUAGGUGGAAUCCGCUAAAACCAGCAACUGGAUGUUGUUGGAUCAAGUUUCGAACUCUGUUAAAAAAAGAAUGGCUCAAGACCAGAUGUAUGGAUCCUAAUGUUUUCCAAGCCUGGGAUUAUGCUUUUAAACUGAAGGAUUAGAGACAGAGAUUAAAAGUAUUCAAGGAAUUGCUGCCUGAUUGCCUGAAAAUCUCUAAUGGACUCUGAACUCCACCAUCUCAUGAGCACUGCAGCCAAGGGUGCAUUUGACCUUCAUGUCCCCAAAAAGGCCCUCACUGUUGGUGAGUAUGAGGUUCAGCAGAGCAUGUAUCCUUGUUGUCUCCUCUGUCACUUGGGUGAGGAAUUGUCUUCGAUGCACACCAGGAACCUCCUUGAUUGUUUAUGCCUGCUGUGUUGUCCCUCCUGUAAAUAUCAGGGUGGUUGAAGUCCUUCAUAUGGACCAGGACCUGUGAACAUGAGGCUGCUCCUACCUGUCUGUAGAGGGCCUCACCACUUGUUCUUCCUGGUCAGGCAGCUUAUAGCAGACACCCACUAUAAUGUCACCUUUACUUGCCCUCACUUUAAUUCUAACCCAUAAAUUCUCAGUUGACUCCUUGUCCAUCCCCAGGAAAAGCUCCACGCACUUCAACUGCUCUCUCACAGCAAGAACAACUCCCCUUCCUCUUUUUCCCAUCCUGUCUUUCCUCAAGAACCUGAAUCCCUCCAUUGCAAUAAGCCAUUCAUGGGGGCCAUCCCACCACAUCUCCAUGAUCCCGAUAAGACUGUAGCCUUGCAAUUGCACAGGUUGAGAAAACAGGCACAGUUGUGCACCUGGGUUUCUUAAUGUGCAUCAGUUGGACCUCCAUUCAGACACAUUAAAUCAUUCCAUCAAUUUCUUAUUUCAUACUGUUAUAUUUUAGCACAAAUCAUCUCAGUACAGUCAUUGAGACAAAUAGCACACCUUUUCAUUUCAUCUCAUUCAGUCUGUCUCCUUUCUUAUAUUUUUUAUAUUAAGAUUCAUUCCUGUAACUGUGACAUUUUAUGGAUGUUCAUCCACUUAUCAACACUUAAAUGUAUCAUUGGGAUAGGUCAAGUAGUCCUUCAUUAUAAUAGAAAGUGUAUAUAUAUUCCAAUUCCUUUUUAUCUGCUAAUGAUGUGCUACAAUUGUCUUGUAAAAUCAUAUUUGAUGCGGAUUCAGCUUACCACACUUACAUUGGGGGAAAAUCUAUUGAAAUACCCUUACAUUUGUAUGCUUCUCAUUGAUCACAGAUGUCAUGGCUUCAUAAUAAACAUCUGAAAAAAAAAAAAGUUAAUCUCUCAUAGGGGGAAAGAAAAACCAUCAGCAUUCCAAGGCAACUAAGCAGUGACAGAUUUGGGUUGUUCGUCUCAUCUUUUUUGUUUACCAUACAGUUUAAGAUAUUGAACUUUGUGAUUAAUGAUUUCCUAAAAUAUAAUCUCCUAGAAUUACCUUUCAUUGUCAGUGCAGCUGAAAACAUGAUCAUUCCUCUUAAGGAGUUACUAAGAGAAUUAUCUAUAUUUUAAAGAGACUUGAAUUCAUCACUUUCUGAUUUUUUUUUUUUCCAAUUGCCUUUUAUCUUUCUGCACUUUUUCAUUAGAAGGUAGAAUAACAUUAUCUCAGGUACCAUAAUCCAAGAAAAUAUUGCUGCAGCUUAGAUUCAUUAGGAUCAAAUAUUCUUUCUCUUUUUGUUUCAGUGAAAACUGUUACCUAUUUGUGAAAAUAAAAUAUAAAUACGAGCUGGGUGUCACUUGGAUUAAUUAGACCUCUGCCUCCUUUCUUUUCUGUCUUGAAAAAAAAAAAAAACCCACAAAAAAACCCCAAAACUGAAUUAACAUUUUAAAUAAGGUUUGCCAAGAAUAAUCCACUGCACAUUUUUAGAGACAGAAAGCUGAGAUAACAGUUAAUUACUUCUUAACAACACAGAAAUUAAAAUUACAUAACAAGUUUUUCCUCCUAGUUUCGGUGUAAACUCUAGCCAGCCAGAGUUUUGGGGUUUUUUUUAACAGAUGGAACAAAGGGGUUUUGUUCUUUUUUCUCUUCUGGCACAAGCUAAAACAUUAUAAUUAUAUAUAUUAGGUGAUAUAGCUAAAAGCACCAACCCUGAGGGAUUUUUACAAAUCAUUUUGGCUCAACAAGGAGGUUUAAAAGGAAUAUUUUUGGAUGUAAAAUUCCAUAAGAGGAAGUCCCCAUUAACUUCAGUAGAUUCUGGCUGCAUGGCAAACUGACAUUUUAUGUGUGUAUAUAUGAUGUAUGCCUGUGUACAGUAUGCAGCACAUGUAUAUAUGCAACAUGUAUUCAGAGAAUUUGCAGAGAGUCAAAAGACAUGUCAGCUGUCUUGCUCACUGUAAUGCAGUGCUAACUUUGAAGCUCCAAAAUAUCAGGAGACAUUGUUCAAAUCAUUAAUAUAUUUUUUCAUCUGCUCAACAUAAUGCCACAGUAUGGGUUAAAUUUUAAUUUCUAUUCAAGAAGGAAGUCCAUUUUCCUUAGUUAAUGCUACUAAAGUGUGCCCUAGCUAUCCACAGAGUGUCAUUAUUUAAUAUAAAAUCCAGUGAUCCCUUGGAAGCCAGCACAGGAGUCUUCCUUAAAUUAUGUGUGCCAGGACUUUGCCACGGCUAGUUUCCGAUAGCUUUAGUACCACACUUCUAUUACUUCCCUUGGGAAACAAUUUGGCAGUUAAAAUCUCUUUAUUAGGAAGCUUUCUCUGAUAACUUCAGUCUGCUUUUUUUGACUGCUCAGCAUGAGCACAUUUGUCCUAUUAUGUCUCAGUGCAUAAAAGACUUAACAAUCAGUCAAAAUAUGAGAAAGUAAGAGAAUGUGACUCAAGAGUGAAUUUGCCAAAGAAAGGGAGAGAAAGAAAGAUGCAAAUCCAUGAAGGCUACCAUUCAAUAUAUCCUUCUAGCCCUUUAGAAGGGUUUCUUAAAUGUGUAUUAACAUAGACAACAGCUUAUGUCCUCUUCUGAAUGUAGGUGGCAUGUGAACUGUGAGCCUGAAAAAAGAUUUCUUUUUCAUUGGAGAAAGAAAACCUAUACUCUUUUGAAAACAAACUUUUGUGAUGAAUAAAGUUGUUUUGUCUACUAUAUGAAAAUACACACAUACGUGGUUUUGUUUAUGUUUUCAGUGAAGGUUUAUACAUAUUUUUACUUCAGAAAAUAUCAGGUAUACAAUGGAGUAAGAUUGCUUACAGCUGCCCUAGACAAGGUAUCAUCAAUUGGUAUUAAUUUAUUACACUGUUUCAAAUCAUGUAGUCCAAGCUCUAUAGUAUUUCUAAGAGUGAUAUGCUUUUAAUGUAACUAUCAACAUUCUUAGCAGACAAGUCAAAACAGUUCUCCAAUCACAUUUUAGGCUCAGUUUUGCAGUUUUCAAAACUGCAAUUGUUUAUUACAAAUAUGUAUUAAAAAGGUAAAUAUAUAGUUAAUGUGAAAUUUUCAGAAAGCAGUUAUUGCUUGUAUAUCUUGUUUUCAAAAUCCAAGCUGUGUCUAUUAAUCUUACGGUGUUAAUAUAGCGUACAUUCUAACCCAGAAAUCAGAGUGAUAUUUACUGUACUCUAUAUACAAUAAAUCACGUACCACUUUGCUGAUGAAUCCUGUGUUACUAAAAUUCUGCCACAAACCUAAAGAAGAGAUGAGGAUGACUUCUCUAUUUCAAAUUGAGUUCAACCCACCUCUAGAUAUUAAAUCAUUCUUGUCAGGAACAGCUUUUAUCACUCAUACUCCUUGGAAAUUAUAAAAUACCUAAAAGCACAGUUUCUGCC